UCAAAAUUCAAUUUGACGAAAAAGAAUUAUACAAAUUUGGGGGCAAUUAUUGCACCCUUUAAGAACAGCACUGGCGGAAGGAUCUUCAUCAAUAACCUUGAAACAUCGUUCAUUACCGGAGGUAUCCCAUGCAAAGCAAGGACAGACUACUCGAUUGAAUAGACGAUGCACGCAGCAGGUAACAAUAGUAACAUUAAUGGCAACAGUAGCGAAACUUAACCUGCCUUGUUAUCUCGAUAUGCAUCAAAGUGGAUCUAACCGUACAAAUAUUUAAUAUACAAAAUAUGUUAAUAUAUUCAAACAUUGGAACAUUCAAAUUCUAAAGAUUAGAGAACUUCACGAAUAUAUGAACCCUGAAUCCUGUAUAAUUGCUCGAAAAUCGGGAUAUAAAUUGGAAACUUGGAGAAUAGUGAAAUAGAUUUUUAAUCCCAAUGGAUCAAAAUAUGGAUCAGUACUCGAAAAGAGUACCAGAAUUUAAUAGUAAAUAGAACGUCAUUCUUUUCAUAGUACGUUAAGAAAUAUUUCGAUAUUCGAACAAUAAAUUAAACAUGUAAAAUUUCCUGCAAUAAAUAGCGGAAUUGAUUCUUCAUUUCAAUAUCGAGAAUUUUUUUCAUUCCAUACUUCAUCGAAACGAGAACGAUAAACACCAGACACAUAUAAUUACUAUAAACCUCUAUUGCAGUUGUUCAACUUUCACAACAAUCACAUAUGACCCUGAUAAUCGAUGUUCAAGGCCUCGUGCGAACUAAAGCAAAAUUUAUACGGUGGUUAUUGACCAGUUUGUCGGAAAAAUGAACACGGUCGAAGUACUUACUAAGGUGAACGGAAGAAAGAUACGAGUGUAAAACAGUGCAAAGAAGCGAGAGAGAGAAAAAGAGCGAUUACCAGUGGGUGCACAAGAGACAGAGUGAGAGGCGGGCGAAACAGGAGAUCGGCCGUUUCCGCCUAGUUUCGGCUCCGUCCGUUGGGUCAUUGGGUCAAAUCUUCGGUUACAUGGGAGUAGAGCAGUACAGUAUACAGGACUGUACGCGUUCACAAUGCAAACUUCAACUGUUCGCGGCGCGCGGCCGGCUCGUUAUUCGAUGCACCACUAUUUUUAGAAAUAUACCGACCGCCCCGAGUGCCGAGAACCCAGAGCGGCCCACGACCCGACCGGGUCGAGACCGAAUAAAAUAUGAAUAACCGAGACACACGGUGUCCCGUGAAUCCCUCCCCGUGUUUUCCCGAGUUUCUUCACUUUUUCUACCGUCGCGCUACGUUUUAAUCGAAGUGUUGUAUCUUUGCAUGUGGGGUUUUUGUAUAUUAACGAUUUUCAGAAGAAAAUUAAGUUUAAUUAAGUUAAGUUAAAUUAAUUUUUUCAAUAGGAAAGAAUAAUAAUAAAGGGAAAAAAUUAAUAAUCAAUAAAAGAUUUUCAGCUUCGAAUUUUAAGUGGAAAUUUAAUUUUUAUUGGAAAAGUAUAAGAAAGGAACUUAAGACAAGUAAGAAACUUUUGGUAAGGAAUAUUAGAUUCUUUUGAUAAAUGUCCAAGUAUUUUCUCAUCGUAAUAAAAAUGAUACGACGAAUAUAAAAAUUCUACUGUAAUUUUAAUAUUCGAAAAAAUAGAAAGAUAGAUAAAUAACUAGAUAAAUUUAAUAAACUGCUAAUAGUUUAAUGGUCGCGUGGCGCUAGCGUCGCGUUACGAAAUUUUUAAUGUCCAUUACGAAAUUCUCUUACACGAAUGCUUUUUUAUCCGUUAAAGAAACAGAAUUAAAAAUUGAAAUACGAUAUUGUCGAUGUUUCAUCGAUUUUCGAAGAGAGUACCGAAUUUCCAUCCACGAUUCCACGUAGAUAUCUGUAGUACUCGAGGGUUGUUAACCUCUGGACGUGGAUGUCGAUGCCAGCCGCUCAACUGGAUGUCGCCUCGAUACGAAAUCUGAUCGAGGGCAAAUGUUUAUCGGCCUGUCGGACAACUGGCGAAAGAGUUAAAAGCAGAGAUGAUCACGAAGAAAAGAGGAUAAUGUUGCCAUGUCGAGAAAGAAUCCUGAUCUGCUCAAGUAGUUUCGAUGCAAACUACUGAGAAGUCUUAAAAAGGAGGAAAUUUACAGAAGCGAGAAAGGAAUCCAGAUUGAAAAAAAAAAAGAAAAACUAGAAAAAGAGAAAGAAAGGAAGAAAAAAAGAGGCGAGGAAAAGAAGGCAGAAGAAAAGGAGGAAGAUAAAUCGUUAACCUAUAUAUUAGGACGGAACGAAUUAUUUGUCGGCCAUUGUGAAAGCAUGCCAAGUAACCCGGUGAACAAGAUUUUUCGAUCGAAUUAAACAAUGCCUCGGUUGAUAAAAAUUCAGUGAAAAUUUUGCUUCGCAAUAAGAUUCGAAUAUCUUGUCAGAAACAGAAGAUGGAAUCGAAAAUUGAAAAUUAUCAAAUUAUUCGAAUACGAGAAGAGGAACUGAAAAAAAAAAAAUAAUUGAAAGACCGAAAUUAGGAAAACGUUGAAACGAACAGACGGAAGGGUUUGUUCCUUCUUGGACAUCUUCUUGGCUGCAUUAACGAUUUAUUUACAUUAUUUACGAGCACGCUCGAAUUUCCAAUUAACGCCCGGUCCCCGGUCGGAUUUGCCCUCUGCGCCGCCAAUUUCUCCAAUUAAACGCGUUGCGAAAUGCCGUUACAUAAUAGAUCAAUUAACAAACGAUGUCUGAUUCGUGUAACAACCUCAACGUUCCCCACGUGUCCCUGGAGAACGUGCCGCUUCCGUCCUUCGAUGCAAAGCAGUUAUAAUUUAGUCCAUAGAUAAUAAUCAUCGUCGAAUAAUACAAAAAUCUGAGACAAAUACUAUAAAUCAGAUUUUUCUUUAUCGAAGAAUUUGAAUUUGUAUAUAUUCAUAUAUAUAUAUAUAUAUAUAUAUAUAUAUAUUCAUAUAUAUAUAUAGAUGAGAUCGAUCUCUUAGAUCCGCGAUGAUCCGCGUCACUGCAUCGGCAGAUUUUCUCUAGUUUUUUUUUAAAGGCGGAACGUGACCGUACGUUAUUUCCAACGAGGCACCGGGCGACACUGACAAACUGCUAUCCGUGCAGGGAGAAUGGAACGCAUUAUUCUUCCUCCGACAAACGACUACCUUCAUGUACUUAUUCUCUUCUCCUCCUGUCUCGAUGAUUUCAUGUACAAGGUGUUUCAUGCGAAGUAGACAGGCCUUGAGAAGGUUAUUUCCGACGUGAUUUCAAGCAAAUUUUCCCUUUGCGAAAAUUUUCGUUUCGCCUUCGUUCACGAGUUAUCGAAGGAAACACGCUGGCCAAUCACGACGCGCCAUUUGACGGGAUAAGUCACGCGCGCCGUGAUUGGUCUAUAAAAUCGUUGAUUUCCUUAUUACGAUGUAUUCUUAUCGUUAUCUUGUAAACGAUUGAAUAUAAUUUCGCGAGAGACGGAAAUAGAUGUUAUUGUAAGUUUAAAUAAUAAUUAAUAUUUCUUUAUAUAUAAUAUUUCUAUAUAUAGAAAUCGAUCAAUAAGGAUUAACCGAUGAUUCCUGAAGUGAUUUCAAGCGAUUUUUUCCUUUGCGAAAAAUUUUCGUUUCGCCUUCGUUCACGAGUUAAUGAAGAAAAACACUGACCAAUCACGGUGCACGGUGACUCGUCCCCUACGUCCUAUCCAAUACCGCGACGCGACGCGAUACACGCGCUGUGAUUGGCCAAUAUUUUUCUCCGUGUUCACUCGAAAUCACUCGCAGGAAUCAUCGAUUAAUUCUUGUCGUAAUUCAAUAAGGAAUACUUAUUAUAUUAAUUAUAAUUAUUAUUUAAAUUUAAAAUAACAUUUUAAUCCACGAAAUAUUUCCCUCCGAGGAAAAUAACGAGAAGAAUAAUUUGUUAAGCUUUAAAAAAAAUUAACAAUAGACUAAAUCUUCUUGGAAAUUCAUGUGGCACUGAUUCGAAAGCGUAAAGGUUAGCGUGUAGGUGUCUGACGCUUUCCUUCCUCAAUUUGCAGCUUAAAAUAGUAAAAUUGCAAUAGAUAGGAACCUUGUCCAAUCGUAAACGUACGUAUAAAUCGAUAAUUUUUAAUCCACGAUCCUUUUUUCGUUGGUAAAACUUGUAACAAAACGAUUAAAGAUAAUUAAUGAUUAUUUUGCAAAUAAUAAAAUGAAAAAUAUCGUUAUCAUUUAAAACCGGUAAAAUCGUUGUUAAGAUGGAUGUAAGAAAAUGAGAGAGAGAGAGAGAGAGAAUAUUCCAAUGCGAGCAUUGCGUGCCAGAAAAUUAUUUAUUUAGAGGGCGAGAGUGUCAAGGACGUUUCAAGGUUAAGUAAUAUUUUCCCUCCACCUUACGUAAAUUAAUUUAGAGCACGUGGAAGAGGUCGAUAGCUUCGUUUCAAUCCGAGCUUCCUCUUUGUACCUAUCUUCGAUUCUCGAGUCUCGUAUCUUUCUAAUUAAAAUCAAAAAGAAAGGGAAAAAAUAUUACUGGACGUUGAUACUCGACGAGAGAAGACAAUUGUUUCGAUUUCUAUAUAUCCUUUCUCUAUUCUCUAUGUACAAUGGAACUGUCUAUUUACAUGAAAAUAAAAUUUUACACGAUAAUGA